CACGUAGGGUGCGAGCGUUGUCCGGAAUUAUUGGGCGUAAAGAGCUCGUAGGCGGUGUGUCGCGUCGGCCGUGAAAACCUGCAGCUUAACUGUGGGCUUGCGGUCGAUACGGGCAUCACUGGAGUUCGGCAGGGGAGACUGGAAUUCCUGGUGUAGCGGUGAAAUGCGCAGAUAUCAGGAGGAACACCGGUGGCGAAGGCGGGUCUCUGGGCCGAUACUGACGCUGAGGAGCGAAAGCCAGGGGAGCGAACGGGG
rnacentral:rRNA from 1 species